GCCAGACUCCUACGGGAGGCAGCAGUGGGGAAUAUUGCACAAUGGGGGGAACCCUGAUGCAGCGACGCCGCGUGGGUGAAGGAGCACCUCGGUGCGUAAAGCCCUAUCGGCAGGGAAGAAACAGACGGUACCUGACUAAGAAGCCCCGGCUAACUACGUGCCAGCAGCCGCGGUAAUACGUAGGGGGCAAGCGUUAUCCGGAUUCACUGGGUGUAAAGGGAGCGUAGACGGCGACGCAAGUCUGGAGUGAAAGCCCGCGGCUCAACUGCGGGACUGCUUUGGAAACUGUGCAUCUUGAGUACGGGAGGGGCAGGCGGAAUUCCUGGUGUAGCGGUGAAAUGCGUAGAUAUCAGGAGGAACACCGGCGGCGAAGGCGGCCUGCUGGACCGAAACUGACGUUGAGGCUCGAAAGCGUGGGGAGCAAACAGGAUUAGAUACCCCUGUACAG
rnacentral:rRNA from 1 species